ACGUAUGGAGCAAGCGUUAUCCGGAUUUACUGGGUGUAAAGGGAGUGUAGGUGGCCAUGCAAGUCAGAAGUGAAAAUCCGGGGCUCAACCCCGGAACUGCUUUUGAAACUGUGAGGCUGGAGUGCAGGAGGGGUGAGUGGAAUUCCUAGUGUAGCGGUGAAAUGCGUAGAUAUUAGGAGGAACACCAGUGGCGAAGGCGGCUCACUGGACUGUAACUGACACUGAGGCUCGAAAGCGUGGGGAGCAAACAG
rnacentral:rRNA from 2 species